GCGUCGGUGGUGCAACGGUUUAGCACAUACCACCGGAAAGAGUAAGGUCUAGGUUUGAAUCCCGGCCAUCGCA